rnacentral:tRNA from 1 species
GCGGGCGUGGUGGAACUGGUAGACACGCCGGAUUUAGGAUCCGGUGGCGCAAGCCAUGGGGGUUCGAGUCCCUCCGCCCGCACCA